rnacentral:rRNA from 1 species
GCACAAUGGGGGAAACCCUGAUGCAGCCAUGCCGCGUGUGUGAAGAAGGCCUUCGGGUUGUAAAGCACUUUCAGUAGGGAGGAAGGUAGUGUAGUUAACACCUGCAUUAUUUGACGUUACCUACAGAAGAAGCACCGGCUAACUCCGUGCCAGCAGCCGCGGUAAUACGGAGGGUGCGAGCGUUAAUCGGAAUUACUGGGCGUAAAGCGCAUGCAGGCGGCCUGUUAAGUCAGAUGUGAAAGCCCCGGGGCUUAACCUCGGAAUUGCAUUUGAAACUGGCAGGCUAGAGUCUUGUAGAGGGGGGUAGAAUUUCAGGUGUAGCGGUGAAAUGCGUAGAGAUCUGAAGGAAUACCAGUGGCGAAGGCGGCCCCCUGGACAAAGACUGACGCUCAGAUGCGAAAGCGUGGGGAGCAAACAGGAUUAGAUACCCUGGUAG